UUCAUUAGCUCAAAUAUAUACAUAUGUCGAGGCACAUUCCUAGGUAAUAUCUUCUCAUUCAGAUAAAUAACUUCAAGUUAAUAUUAAAGUCAUUAUUCAUUGAUGCAGAAAAGUCUCUCCACUGUACUUUCCCAAUUCUUGGGCAUUCUACAAAAAAUGCUCUUUCUGCAAUGUAUAUCCCCUGAAACACAAUGUUAAAUUUGAAAAGGUUUAAAUAUUUUCCCAGCUCAAGAGAAAUAAGGCAGAUUUUCUAUCAUUGCUAGAAUGAAAGGAGGUUUGUUUAUCCUGUUCACUAAAUCAACAACAUACUUCCUGCUAAUAGGAUCAGAGAAUGAGAUGGGUAAAAUGUGAAAUCAUUUGAUUUCUUUGUUUUGUUUACACGUGUAUGUUAACGAAGCAUCAGAUAAGAAUGAGGUCUAAUUUCCUCUUCUGCAGGUAGAAUUUGAGUUAGGUUUCCAGAAGGACUUACCAAAUUCUAGUAGCCAUACACCGGUAAACAGGUCAACCUCUAGGUAUUUAGAAAAACAAAUGUCCUUUCCCAAACUUCUUAGUUACAGAGCCUUUCAAAAGCAGCUCAUAAUUUGUUCACAUGUUGUUAUUUGCCUAAUGCACUUGAUACAUACUAUCAGAACUGCACAUAAUGCCUGAGCUCUACAGAUAAAAGCUAAAAUGAAGGAUACAAUAUAUCUGAUUUUCAGAGGCCUAGUAUCAUUUAAAAAGUCAGCUAACAAUUCCAGACUAUCUCUAGUUAGAUUCUAAACACAAGAAUCCAUCCAUCCAUUCAAUAAAUACUUAUUCAGCUAGACAAUAUGCAAAACCAUCCCAAGGGGGUUGAGAUUAAAAAAAAAAAAAAAAAUCAAGAUAAAUCUGCCAUCUUGCCACUAACAAAACAUAUCCAGGACAAAAAGUACUAUAAGGGAAAUGAGAGUGAAGAGCUUCAGCUUAUGCAAAGACCCUGUACUGAAUGAAAAUGAGUAAAUUUAUGGGCCAUAAAAUGUAAAUACAUAGCAUUGAAGAGAGGAAAAUUCAUGUAGUCCAUAAAAUUGGAAUUCAGUAGAUUGUGAGCCUUGCAAGAAAAUCACUCACCAUACAAGUCCUAGAAGCAAGAGGUACAGCUCUCCCAUUAACCAGCUCUAGGACUUUAGAUCAAGUCAUUUCAUUGCUCUGAGAUUCUGUUUCUUCAUCUGUAAAAUGAGAGUUAAAAUUUCUAAGCUACCUACCACUCAUGAUUGUCAAGGGAUUAUGCAUGAAAAAAUGCUUUACUAAACUAAAUAUCUCAUAUAUACUAGUACUGGUUCAGCUUUUUUGGGGUCUUAUUUUUAAAUAAAUAAGUUGAAAUGAUAUUUUUUAAGAUUGCAUUUAUUUGGGAGAUUGUGCACAGACUAGCAAACUGGGUGGUGGGGGAGGAAUAGAGGGAAGAGAGAGACUCGAGCAGAUUCCACGCUAAGCAUGCAGCUUGACACAGGGCUUGAUCUCACAACCCUGAGAGUACAACCCCAGCCAAAAUUAAGAGUCGGACGCUUAACCACCUAAGCCACUCAGGCACCCCAAGUUGAAAAGACUUUUAAGUUCUCUUUUUAGCACUGUAAGAUUUUACGACCUAAAAACUAAUCUUAACUCAAUGAGUAACUAAGAGAUUUCUAACUUCCUAAGCAUUAUUAUUAGUAGCAUCAAUCAAUAAAUUACCACAGAAAAGGAGGUAUGAGCUAAAACAAACUGUUCUAAAAUAUUGGUUAAAAAAGGAAGGGGGAUGAGAAUCAAAGGACAUAUGGAAGAAAGUUAAAAUGACUAUUAAUAGUGAAGGAAUCAAAAGUAACCCUGAGUCUGAGGGGAGAACCGAGAUGACAUUCUUCUGGCAAUCCUUCACGACGGCAAACUAUCAACUUUAUAGGAAAAAGUUAUUUCAAUUGAAAAAGAUUUCCCAAGCAAGUCUGGUGAAUGAGCUUAGAAUUCAAAUUCAUGAUACAGCACUGAUUCAAAAGCAAAAUGUGCCAGAAAUUGAGGGACAGGGCUCAGUAUUUCCGAAAAGCGAGUUGUAAAAGGAAAUUUCAGAAAUCUGACUUCCGCAAUUAAUGCAGAUGGUCUGUUAAUGGUAACUCUAUUUAGCACUCACUUUAAUACAUAUUCUAAAAUACUUCUUUAAAAAUUACUACUACUACUACUACUGGCGAUGGGUGGCUCAAGUGGUUGAGUCUGCCUUUGGCUUGACGUCAGGGUCCUGGAGUCCUGGGAUCGAGUCCCACAUCAGACCCCCAAUGGGGAGCCUGCUUCUCUCUGUGUGUCUCUCAUGGAUAAAUAAAUAAAUCUUUAAAAAGAAAUUACUACUACUGUUACUUCACAAUCAGACUAUUCUAUCAUCCCUAUUUUCCAAUAAUUAAGCAUCUGGCUGGGAAAGCAAAACACAGUUAGUUACACAAAAGAUAAGACAAAGGACCUACAUUUCCAACAAAGCUAGACCGCAUAUUACACACCAACCCUCUUGCAAUUAAAAAGUUAGACAAAUGUAUAUUUUUUUUAAUUCUUAAAAAUAUCAGAGGAUAUAAACUGGUGCAACCGCUUUGAAAAACUGAUAGUUAACUACUGAAGCUAAAUUAUAUCUACCAACAGCACCAUACCCAGGAAUACUUCCAAAAGAAGGAAGUGCAUAUCCGACAAAAUACACAUGUAAGAAUGUUUGUAGCAGAUUUAUUAUAGUAGUCCAAAAUUGGAAAUGAUGCAAAUGCCAUUAAAAGUAGAAUGGAUAACCAAACUGUGAUAGAUCUGUAUAUGAGGCUACUACUAUAGCACACUGUAUUUUCCAAUAAUGGUGCCUACAAUACUUCUGGUCUCACAAGCUCUUCCAGAACCUCAACUCCCCCCAUCAAGAGGUAGAGUCCAUUUCCCCUCUCUUUAAACCUCGGCAGGCUCAUAACUGCUUCAAAGAGCAGAAUACAAUGGAAGGAAAAUUGCAUUAAGUUUCAAAGCCAAGUCAUAAGAGGCAAUCUAGUGUCUGUCUGGCCCAUGGGCUCUCCACCCCACUCCACUCCCCACUGCCUGUGGGUGCAGGACACUAGCCCUUGGAACACUGCCACCGUACUAUUAAGCACAGUCAGGCCACAUUUAGGUGUUCCGUCAUCAACCAGCAGACAUGUGAGUAAACCUUCAAACACUUUUAGGCCCAGCCUUCAAACAGCCCUACUUGAAACCAAAUGAAGCUAAGACAAGCAUUGCACAAAUUACAGUGUUGUGCAGAAAAUAUAUGUUGUCACUGUUUAAGUCACUGAGUUGCUAGGCAAUUUUUUAGGUGCUACAGUAACUACAAGUACAGUAACUACAAGAAACACUACUGCUAUGUGCAACAACACAGCUGAAUUUCACUGAUACUAUACAAUGUUGAACAAAACAAGCCAGAUCAGACACACGGGAGUAAAACAUACCGUAUGAUACUAUUUUGAAAAGAAAACUAAAAACUGCAAAACUGUUGACAGAAAACCAAGUAAUUGCAACCUGCAUCAGGAAAGGAAGAUAUAGAUGGGGAAGGGGUGUGACAAGGUCUUCUGGGGUGGCAAAAAUGUUCUACAUCUUGAACUGGAUAUGAUUACAUAUUUAGUUACAUUCAUAAAAAUUCUUCAGGUUAUACAUUUAAGAUUGGUGCACAUUAUUAUAUGUAUAUUAUACCUUAAUGAAAACGCAGGAGAGGAUAGUAAUCAAAGAGCUAACAAGGUAAUAAGGAACUACUAGGCACAGUAGUCCAAGAGGACAGAGAGGAGCACAGCACCCUGGGGUCUCUUGUCCCCUGGAAAUGCCUGCCUAAUCAAAAAACUGCAUGUAGGCAGGCUAGGAAAGUAGGAAGACAAAAUGUCAGAGUACAAGAUCCACCAAAGGAGCCAUCCCUUGCUUUAGAAUAAGACCCCAAAAAGCUGAAUCCUGGAAGAGAGAACACAGAAGGAAACUAAACCAGUCAUUGCAUAGAUAGACUCAAAAAAACAAACACAAAAAAAAAAAAAAAAAAAAAAAAAAAAA
rnacentral:lncRNA from 1 species